AACGAACGCUGGCGGCGUGCUUAACACAUGCAAGUCGAACGGAACGUUCCUGCUUUUGGGGGGUGCGCGGGUGGCGACCGGGGGAGUAACACGUGGGUUAGCUGCCCUUGACUUUGGGAUAACUUCAGGAAACUGGGGCUAAUACCGGCUAGGAGUUCCUGCUUCAUGGUGGGGGUUGGUAGGUUUAGGCGGUUGGGGAUGGACUCGCGGCGUAUCAGCUUGGUGGUGGGGUAGUGGAUUAGCAAGACCUUGAGGGGUAGCAUGCCUGAGCGGGUGACCGGCCACAUUGGGACUGAGCUACGGCACAGACUACUACGGGAGGGAGCAGAGGGGAAUAGUGCAUUAGGGGCGGAAGGCAGAUCCAGCAACGCCGCGCGCGGGAUGAGGGGAUUCGCUUUGGAAAGUAAAUUUGUCUGUGACGAGGCGUGAGUGACGGUAACGGGUAAAUAAGCACCGGCUAACUACGUG
rnacentral:rRNA from 1 species